rnacentral:lncRNA from 1 species
GAAAGCACCGCUGUGGAGCUGCAGGAGCAGCAGUCUUAGACAGGAAGGCUUUCUGCGCAGAAGAUGAAAGCAAACUCCGCCAAGUCCCUGCAUACAGCCAUACUUUUCAAUGCAAGGAUCAAAAUUAGGGAUUCAAAAAAAUUAUAAUGGGUGCUAUCAGAGCACUGCUGUCCCCUUUGGAUCUCUCACCUCUCAGCAUUGGUGUGCCUCGGUGGCACCCAAGAUAGCAGCGCACAUGGACUGCUCUAUUGACGAUCUCCAGGACCAGAUUCUGAUACUUAAUCAAUUUGAUAUCCUAAGAGUCUCCGACAGACGCGAUGUGUCGGAAGCGUCACUGAUCCUGAUCACUGAUGGCCCAGGAGUCUUGCAUGCCCUCGAUGACUGCGAUUGCCACUGCCGGAGAGAUUUUCUGGGGAAUUAUCAGUAUGAAUUUCGGCGUGAAAGAGCCCCAAACAAGA